AAUUAUAAUGUUUAUUUAUUUUCCCUUUUUAAAGUUUAAGUUUUUCAGUAUUUAACAAAUUUAUAGUUUAAAAUUAAUUUUAAUAAAAUUUCGAUCUUCUCAUAGAGAGAGAACAAGAUUUCUCUCUUCCCACCCUUCCGACGCCCAGCGAUCUCCAGUCUCCCUUUCGUUCGAGCAGAAGCCAUCAAUGUCCUGUUCUUUCUUCCUCGCCUUUCCAAGUUCCAGCCAUCGUUUGUUCUUUAUCCCCUUUCCUCCAAAUCCUUGCCCCUCGCCUUCAUUUCCUUGUAGAGGGCUUUUAGGUUCUCCCGAAAAAGUGUUAACUUUCUUGUUUUUUUUUCUCGAUUCGGGGCAAUCAAGAAAGGUGCCGGGAGCGAUUCAUGGCGAGUUUGGCUGGGCCUCGAGUAUACAGCUGCAGUAAUUGCCGAAAUGAGGUUUGCCUUCACGACGAUGUCAUAUCGAAAGCUUUCCAGGGGAGAAACGGACGUGCAUUUCUAUUUUCUCAUGCCAUGAACAUAGUUGUUGGGCCAAAGGAAGAUAGGCAGCUGACCACAGGACUGCAUACAGUUGCUGAUAUCUAUUGCCGUGAUUGUCGUGAGGUGUUGGGUUGGAAGUAUGAAAGAGCUUAUGAAGAGACACAAAGAUACAAGGAAGGGAAGUUCAUAUUUGAGAAGUCAAAGAUUGUGAAGGAGAAUUGGUAGCAAACGUGAGGAUGGUCACCGAGUAAUCCUCACGAUAGAAGCUAUCUUUCUGUUUGGCAUGGCUGUCUGUGUGAUCUGAAUUAUGAACAGAACAAUCGGUUUCUGUAUAUAUGAUUGCUUCUAGUCAUAUUCCUUCCAAUUGUGCAUCUGUGUUCACUGCUUCUGUAAAGUUUGCCAAUUGGCAAAUGUUCAUCUAUGAAAAUGCACUCAUCUCGUAGAUGUUGGUCCCGAAGUCAUGUAAACAGUUGUUUUUUAGUUUGGACACCUAUAUGUGUCUUCAUUUC